rnacentral:rRNA from 1 species
AAUCCUGGCUCAGGAUGAACGCUGGCGGCGUGCUUAACACAUGCAAGUCGAACGGGAAAUACUUUAUUGAAGCUUCGGUUGAUUUAAUUUAUUUCUAGUGGCGGACGGGUGAGUAACGCGUGGGUAACCUGCCUUGUACUGGGGGAUAACAGCCAGAAAUGGCUGCUAAUACCGCAUAAGCGCACGGAGGCGCAUGCCUCUGUGUGAAAAACUCCGGUGGUAUAAGAUGGACCCGCGUUGGAUUAGCUAGUUGG